rnacentral:lncRNA from 1 species
GCUCAAUGAAGCUUUGAUGGGGGCCACUGUGAUUCCCUGGCCAUGGACAGAUCCAGGUCCCUGCAGAUCCAGACAAGAGACAGAUCUGUACAUGGGACUCUGGGAAAACAAAAGACACAGCAUUGUGAGGAAGGAGGGAUGCAGAAGCUGCCGGGUUAUUUUUGAUGACUGCUUGGAGCUGGAGAUUCAACUGCAAAAAGCCUGAAAAAGCACCUCGUUUGCAUGAAGCUAUUAGCGUCAACUAACAGUUCUAAAGGUUU